UACGGAGGGUGCAAGCGUUAUUCGGAAUUACUAGGUGUAAAGGGCGUGUAGGUGGUUUGUUAAGUUAGAUGUGAAAUCUCACAGCUCAACUGUGAGGCUGCAUUUAAAACUGGCAGGCUUGAGUAUAGGAGGGGAAAACGGAAUUUCUGGUGUAGCGGUGGAAUGCGUAGAUACCAGAAGGAACACCUACGGCGAAAGCGGUUUUCUGGCCUAAUACUGACACUAAGGCGCGAAAGCUAGGGGAGCAAACAGGAUUAGAUACCCUGGUAGUCCUAGCCAUAAACGAUGAUCACUAGAUGUGGGAGGCAAUCCCUUCCGCGUCGGCGCUAACGCAUUAAGUGAUCCACCUGGGGAGUACGGCCGCAAGGUUGAA
rnacentral:rRNA from 1 species